AGUGCUGCUGCUGGAAACCAGAGUCUUCUUUUGUUUUCCCUCUCACCUCUGGCUGCCUCUCUCUCCCCUCAAAGGUCAGAGCAGUGCCAAGGACAGAAGAGAGAGUAGAUCCAGCCUUGGCCCUGCUAGGCUGGGCAGCCUGGCAGGUAGAGUCAGCAGGGAUAGAGCUUGCUUUCCUGUUCACGAUCUUCAGCCAAGUUCAGGGAGGUCUGAAUACUGAGGCCUUCAUAGCCACUGCACCCCAGGUAGCUCAGGAGAACCUCCGAGCGCAGGAGUGCAAAGGCUGGCAUUCUUCAGGCUCUGAGGCUGUCCCUUCCGGUGGAGGUGAACUGCUUCUUAUUGAUGUGGACAAGACUGUGGAUGGAGACUGACAGGAUCCUGGCUUGGGGGCCUUCCGGCAGGGCUGGCUGCUGGGCUGGCAGGCUCUGGCGCUCCCCUUCCCCAGAACUGACUUUGUUCCUGGCAGCCAUGGUGGCUGCACUAACCACAUUCUGCCUCCACCUUUGCACUAAGAAAAGCAAAUAAGCAGACCACAGAACUGUUUGCAUUUGCCCCAGAUGCUCCCUGGCUGCGGGAAGAGGUCAGUAGGGAGCAUGCAGGGAGAGGGGAAGGGAGACCAGCUUCUGCAGGGAGGGCACGCUGGAAUCUAGGCUUGGGGAGGGACGAAGGGAAGGCUUGUCCAGCCCAGCACAAGCCUGCGGAGGGGCACUGUGGGCACAGUGCAUGAAGUCUGAAGAGGUGAUGUGCUAGAUACCCCAAUCCCUGGCAUAUUCUGCAUUUCAAAACAGAGAAUAAGUAGUCUUGCCACUAUAAAGUGGCAAGAGCUGUUCCUUAGCAAGAGAAAGAGAAACAGAGACAGAGAGAAACAGACACAGAGAGACAGAGACGGAGACAGAAAAAUACACAGAGAAAUGGAGAGACAGAGAGAGAGACAUACAGAGAGACAAAGGCGUAAAGAGGCCCCCCGCACCCUAGGGAUAUGUUGUCAAGGGUGGCUUUUUUGUUAUGAAGAUUGCAGCCUAUUUUGCACGGCUGGCCGGCCUGGGGCUCCUGCCGUCAUUGCUGCCCCAGGGAAGGCUGCUCGCUGGCUUACUCCCAUCCCCUUGCCACUGGCAGCAAAACCAAGCUGGGUUAUGACAUCAGCGACUUUUCCCCUUCUCAGCCCCAGGGUAGAUGGGCCAGGUUGGAAAGCAGCAGGAAACUUUUCCAACACUAACAAACAAUGAGCUCAGGUAGCAAGCCCUGAUAUUAGAAAACGGGAGGGACCCUUAGGGGUUUCACUCAGCCUGAAAGGGAGCCAUGUCUUUCCCAGAGCCAAGUCCCAGUCCCUUUUCAGGGCAGCCAGCCAAGCUGGGAGAUUGGGAGCUGGAAAGAUGUCCCCUGAAAUACAGGUUUGGUGACUCUAACCGUGAAUGGCCCCGAUUCACAGGGGAGGGUUGCUGUUCCUUUGCCAUCCUUUGCCUAUUUGCAGCACUUGCUGAAAGAUAGAAAGAAACACCGAGACAGGAGCUUGGGCUGUAUAGGCAGGGGACAAAUGAAAUGUUUUCCUACUGUGUAAAAAGUUCAAGUGUUCCCAUAUAUGCAGAGCUUGGAACAAUGUCAUCAACUCCUCUUCGUUUUUUUCCAAACAACCUCCUUUAAGACACAGCAAACAGCAGUGCUGCGGAGGUAUGUCUAAUUGCAGAUACUUUUUGUUCAUCAUCGUAUUGAACGUCGUUGCGUGUUCCAGCAGCCAUCAACUUCCUCAGGAGGAAAAUUCAAUUGUGCACUGAGCGACAGCGUGAAGAGACCGGGCCAAGCAGGCAGGGUGCUGCAGGUCAACAAGGUGCUGCUGUGCUCCUGAAGCCUUCAGGAGCCUCAGCCUGAGAGCUCAGGAAAGGGUGGGGCUCCAACCCACCUGGCUUUCCGCCUUACUGAGCUCCAAACACAGGCUUGUUCCACAUCACGGAGAGCCCUUAUCCUGCAUGUGCGUCUCGCUCCCUGACAAGCCUAUUUGUGCCUUGUCACCAGAAAUGUACCUUUUUUCUUCUCUCAUCUGUCCCUGACACCCCCAGCUUAUCUAGCCUGAAGAGAGGCUAUCAAAAUGGUAAUAGCCAGAUGGAAAACAAGGAAAAAUAAGCCCUUUCCCAUAAGGAAGCAAUACGGAUUUUGGAACCGGAGAAAUUUCUACUAUUCUCCCAACAUCAUUCCCUCCGCCUUGGGUGUGCUUCCGAGAGGGUUGGAGGUGUCACCUGCCGUACCCUAGGACUGGCUGAGGGAAAACACACCUGAAGAUUUCCUGUAAAUGAAAAAGUGAAUCACUAAAAGGGGGAGCUGUCAUCCCCUGGCAUUUCUCUGUGCACAGGCGACCUAGUGUUGGGAUGGCAGCAGAACCCAGACAACUGAGCCAACACGUGGAGGGAAGCCCUCACUAGCCUGCAUUCGACUUGUGUGAGAGAGAAGUGAACGUUUACGUGCAAAGCCACUGAGCUUUUGUUGUUGUUCCUGCAGCACAGGGCAUUCUAACCUGCCUAAUACUGAAACGAGUACUGUUAGGCUUGAUCUGUGAAGAGGAGAACAUAAAAGGCCUGCAUAUUCUCUUUUAGGUCCUAAAAAUGCAGUGCUCUCUUCUUGGCCUUGCUGUGACCAGGCUGUUUAAAAUCUGUCACCCCGCCAGUCGCCACUGUAUUAUCUUGCUUUAUUUUUCUUCAUAGUAUUUAUUGAUAAUUUAUGUGCUUAUUAUGUCUCCCUGACUGGAAUGUAAGUUUCAUGAAGGCCAGGACUUGUGCCUUAAAACAGGGCCUGGCACAGAGUAGGCACUUAAUGUGUAUUUUUGAAAGUGAAUUGUGGGCUGAAAAUUCUGAUUUUUCAAAAAAGUUAAUAAAGGUGAAGGCCUUCCUUGCCUUUA
rnacentral:lncRNA from 1 species